UGUGCCGACCACUGGGUUGCUCUUGAUGU
rnacentral:piRNA from 1 species